rnacentral:rRNA from 1 species
GAGGUCCAGCCUGCCCAGUGACUGUUCAACGGCCGCGGUAUCCUAACCGUGCAAAGGUAGCGUAAUCACUUGUCUUCUAAAUAGAGACUAGUAUGAAAGGCAUCACGAGAGUUAAACUGUCUCCUCUCUCUAAUCAGUGAACCUAAUAACCCCGUGAAGAAGCGGGGGUAUUUAUAUAAGACGAGAAGACCCUAUGGAGCUUAAAACAAUUAUGUGUUUUUGGUUGGGGCGACCGCGGAGAAAAACCUAUCCUCCACAAUGAAAAGUAAGCUACAGCUUUAUGUAUCAGCAAACUGACAUCAUUGACCCAAUAUAUUUGAUUAACGAACCAAGUUACCCUAGGGAUAACAGCGCAAUCCACUUUGAGAGCCCCUAUCGACAAGUGGGCUUACGACCUCGAUGUUGGAUCGGGGUAUCCUAGUGGUGCAGCCGCUACUAAAGGU